rnacentral:rRNA from 1 species
CAAGACCUUGCACUUUUGGAGCGGCCGAUGUCUGAUUAGCUAGUUGGUGGGGUAAAGGCCUACCAAGGCAUCGAUCAGUAGCUGGUCUGAGAGGACGACCAGCCACACUGGGACUGAGACACGGCCCAGACUCCUACGGGAGGCAGCAGUGGGGAAUUUUGGACAAUGGGCGCAAGCCUGAUCCAGCCAUGCCGCGUGAGUGAAGAAGGCCUUCGGGUUGUAAAGCUCUUUCAGUCGGAAAGAAAAGGUUGCGACUAAUAAUCGCGAUCAAUGACGGUACCGAAAGAAGAAGCACCGGCUAACUACGUGCCAGCAGCCGCGGUAAUACGUAGGGUGCGAGCGUUAAUCGGAAUUACUGGGCGUAAAGGGUGCGCAGGCGGUUUUGUAAGUCAGAUGUGAAAUCCCCGGGCUUAACCUGGGAACU